GAACGCUUGUCGAGAUUUCGGUUUUGGCGAGAGUGGCGCACGGGUGAGUAGCGCGUGGGAACCUGCCCUGUUGUGGGGGAUAACCGAGGGAAACUUCGGCUAAUACCGCAUACGCCCGGGGGCGACUCCGGGGAAAGAUUGAUCGCAGCAGGAGGGGCCCGCGUCGGAUUAGGUAGUUGGCGGGGUAACGGCCCACCAAGCCUGUGAUCCGUAGCUGGUCUGAGAGGAUGAUCAGCCACACUGGGACUGAGACACGGCCCAGACUCCUACGGGAGGCAGCAGUGGGGAAUAUUGGACAAUGGGCGCAAGCCUGAUCCAGCAAUGCCGCGUGAGUGAUGAAGGCCUUCGGGUUGUAAAGCUCUUUCGCACGCGAGGAUGAUGACGCUAGCGUGAGAAGAAGCCCCGGCUAACUUCGUGCCAGCAGCCGCGGUAAUACGAAGGGGGCGAGCGUUGUUCGGAUUUACUGGGCGUAAAGGGCGCGUAGGCGGUGCGGCAAGUCAGGCGUGAAAGCCCCGGGCUCAACCUGGGAGGUGCGCUUGGGACUGCGGCACUGGAGUUCGGAAGAGGAGCGUGGAAUUCCCAGUGUAGAGGUGAAAUUCGUAGAUAUUGGGAAGAACACCGGUGGCGAAGGCGGCGCUCUGGACCGAUACUGACGCUGAGGCGCGAAAGCGUGGGGAGCAAACAGGAUUAGAUACCCUGGUAGUCCACGCGGUAAACGAUGUGUGCUAGACGUUGGGGAGCCUAGCUCUUCGGUGUCGCCGCUAACGCUUUAAGCACACCGCCUGGGGAGUACG
rnacentral:rRNA from 1 species